rnacentral:sRNA from 1 species
UGUAGGUAUGCGAGCUGAGCAUAUUUUUGAAGGAACAGAAUCGCAUUGAAUUCACCUGCAGCGAUAGAGCGUCUUGUACUCAGGCUGAGACCAAGGAAUGCAGUCCAGACAAACAAGACAAGUGUGUUUUCUGCUGCAACAACCUGGGAACAUGUCGGGAACAAGCGUACCUUGUUUUCUCAGAUUUUUUGACAACGACACAUAGGCCUGCAGUUACCACAGUCAUAAAGGAAACAGAUCCACCAACAACAACAUUGACAACCACAU